rnacentral:rRNA from 1 species
UACGUAGGGGGCAAGCGUUGUCCGGAAUCAUUGGGCGUAAAGCGCGUGUAGGCGGCCCGGUAAGUCCGCUGUGAAAGUCCAGGGCUCAACCCUGGGAUGCCGGUGGAUACUGUCGGGCUCGAGUCCGGAAGAGGCGAGUGGAAUUCCUGGUGCAGCGGUGAAAUGCGCAGAUAUCAGGAGGAACACCAAUGGCGAAGGCAGCUCGCUGGGACGGUACUGACGCUGAGGCGCGAAAGCGUGGGGAGCAAACAGG